UAACAUGUGUGCGAGUCAUUGGGCGAACUAAACCCAAAGGCGCAAUGAGAGUGAAGGCCCGCACUUUGCGGGCUGAGGGCCGAUCCCUUCGGGGCGCAGGCUCGGGACUCGCGCGCCCCAUCGCGGGCGGCGAGUACCAAGAGCAUACGUGUUGGGACCCGAAAGAUGGUGAACUAUGCCUGGCCAGGAUGAAGCCAGAGGAAACUCUGGUGGAGGUCCGUAGCGAUUCUGACGUGCAAAUCGAUCGUCGGAGCUGGGUAUAGGGGCGAAAGACUAAUCGAACCAUCUAGUAGCUGGUUCCCUCCGAAGUUUCCCUCAGGAUAGCUGGUGCUCGCCACGGAGUUUCAUCCGGUAAAGCGAAUGAUUAGAGGCCUUGGGGACGGGAACGUCCUCAACCUAUUCUCAAACUUUAAAUGGGUGAAGAAGUCGGGCUUGCUUGAACCGAAGCCCCGGCAUUCGAAUCCGAGCACCUAGUGGGCCAUUUUUGGUAAGCAAAACUGGCGCUGUGGGAUGAACCAAACGUCGAGUUAAGGGCCUAAACGGACGCUCAUCAGAUCCCAUAAAGGUGUUGGUUGUAUAGACAGCAGGACGGGGCCAUGGAA
rnacentral:rRNA from 1 species